rnacentral:rRNA from 1 species
CAGUAGCCGCGGUAAUACGUAGGGCGCAAGCGUUAUCCGGAAUUAUUGGGCGUAAAGAGCUCGUAGGCGGUUUGUCGCGUCUGCCGUGAAAGUCCGGGGCUUAACUCCGGAUCUGCGGUGGGUACGGGCAGACUAGAGUGCAGUAGGGGAGACUGGAAUUCCUGGUGUAGCGGUGAAAUGCGCAGAUAUCAGGAGGAACACCGAUGGCGAAGGCAGGUCUCUGGGCUGUAACUGACGCUGAGGAGCGAAAGCAUGGGGAGCGAACAGGAUUAGAUACCCCGGUAGUCCCUGUCUCUUAUAC